GAUGAAGAACGCAGCGAAAUGCGAUAAGUAAUGUGAAUUGCAGAAUUCAGUGAAUCAUCGAAUCUUUGAACGCACAUUGCGCCCGCUAGUAUUCUGGCGGGCAUGCCUGUCCGAGCGUCAUUUCAACCCUCAAGCCCCCGGGCUUGGUGUUGGGGAUCGGCGAGCCUCCGCGCCCGCCGUCCCCUAAAUCUAGUGGCGGUCUCGCUGUAGCUUCCUCUGCGUAGUAGCACACCUCGCACUGGGAAACAGCGCGGCCACGCCGUUAAACCCCCAACCUCUGAACGUUUGACCUCGGAUCAGGUAGGAAUACCCGCUGAACUUAAGCAUAUCAAUAAGCGGAGGA
rnacentral:misc_RNA from 1 species